GACGAACGCUGGCGGCGUGCUUAACACAUGCAAGUCGAACGGAAGGGCCCUGCUUUUGUGGGGUGCUCGAGUGGCGAACGGGUGAGUAACACGUGAGUAACCUGCCCUUGACUUUGGGAUAACUUCAGGAAACUGGGGCUAAUACCGGAUAGGAGCUCCUGCUGCAGGGUGGGGGUUGGAAAGUUUCGGCGGUUGGGGAUGGACUCGCGGCUUAUCAGCUUGUUGGUGGGGUAGUGGCUUACCAAGGCUUUGACGGGUAGCUGGCCUGAGAGGGUGACCGGCCACAUUGGGACUGAGAUACGGCCCAGACUCCUACGGGAGGCAGCAGUGGGGAAUAUUGCACAAUGGGCGGAAGCCUGAUGCAGCAACGCCGCGUGCGGGAUGACGGCCUUCGGGUUGUAAACCGCUUUCGCCUGUGACGAAGCGUGAGUGACGGUAAUGGGUAAAGAAGCACCGGCUAACUACGUG
rnacentral:rRNA from 1 species